AAUUCUCAACCCCCAGCAGCUUUUGUGGCUGGUUCUUGGGGCUUGGAUUGUGGAGGUUUCUGCUGGCCCUUUCUGAAAGGUCAGCUCCUCUUAAAUACAUUAGCGGAACCGUUUGUGAUCCGUCACAGGUGUGAUAAUUAUCUACACCCAAAUGGAUUGCUUUCUGUCUGUUCAGCUUACAAUCGUCUGUAUGGACAAUUUAUUUGAAC
rnacentral:misc_RNA from 1 species